UGGGGAAUAUUGGGCAAUGGGCGCAAGCCUGACCCAGCAACGCCGCGUGAAGGAAGAAGGCUUUCGGGUUGUAAACUUCUUUUAUCAGGGACGAUAAUGACGGUACCUGAUGAAUAAGCUCCGGCUAACUACGUGCCAGCAGCCGCGGUAAUACGUAGGGAGCAAGCGUUAUCCGGAUUUACUGGGUGUAAAGGGCGUGUAGGCGGGACUGCAAGUCAGAUGUGAAAACUCGGGGCUCAACCCCGAGCCUGCAUUUGAAACUGUAGUUCUUGAGUGGUGGAGAGGCAAAUGGAAUUCCUAGUGUAGCGGUGAAAUGCGUAGAUAUUAGGAAGAACACCAGUGGCGAAGGCGAUUUGCUGGACACUAACUGACGCUGAGGCGCGAAAGCGUGGGGAGCAAACAGG
rnacentral:rRNA from 1 species